GCCGGGAUGGCGGAACAGGCAGACGCAGCGGACUCAAAAUCCGCCGAGGGCAACCUCGUGGGGGUUCGACCCCCCCUCCCGGCACCA
rnacentral:tRNA from 1 species